CCUACGGGUGGCAGCAGUGGGGAAUAUUGCACAAUGGGGGAAACCCUGAUGCAGCGACGCCGCGUGAGUGAAGAAGUAUUUCGGUAUGUAAAGCUCUAUCAGCAGGGAAGAAAAUGACGGUACCUGAUUAAGAAGCCCCGACAAAUUCCGGGCCAGCAGCCGCGGUAAUACGGAGGGCCGGGGCGUUACCCGAAUUUAUUGGGUUUAAAGGGGCGGAAGGCGGCAUGUCAAGCGUGCUGUGAAAUGCCCGGGCUCAACCCGGGCAUUGCAGGGCGAACUGGCGUGCUUGAGUCCGCGAAAAGCAGGCGGAAUUCGUCGUGUAGCGGUGAAAUGCUUAGAUAUGACGAAGAACCCCGAUUGCGAAGGCAGCUUGCUGCAGCGGAACUGACGCUGAUGCUCGAAAGCGCGGGUAUCGAACAGGAUUAGAUACCCGGGUAGUC
rnacentral:rRNA from 1 species